rnacentral:sRNA from 1 species
CCCCGGGGGGGGUUUUUUAAAAAAACCCCCCCCCGGGGGGGGUUUUUUUAAAAACCCCCCCCCCCGGGGGGGGUUUUUUUAAAAAAACCCCCCCCGGGGGGGUUUUUUAAAAAAAAACCCCCCCCGGCGGGAAAAUUUUUUAAAAAAAACCCCCCCCGGGGGGGGUUUUUUUAAA